GACCCGUCUUGAAACACGGACCAAGGAGUCUAACAUGUGCGCGAGUCAUUGGGUCCCACUACACCCAAAGGCGUAUUGAACGAAAAGGCCGUCCUUCGCGUCGGCUGAGGGAAGAUGGAGGCUCGCUCGCGGGCCUCCCGCAUUCCCGGGGCGUCUCGUCCUACCGUCGCUCGUCGGCGGAAGGUGAGGCGCACCAUGAGCGCACACGUUGGUACCCGAAAGAUGGUGAACUAUGCCUGGCCAGGACGAAGCCAGGGGAAACCCUGGUGGAGGUCCGUAGCGAUUCUGACGUGCAAAUCGAUCGUCAGAGCUGGGUAUAGGGGCGAAAGACUAAUCGAACCAUCUAGUAGCUGGUUCCCUCCGAAGUUUCCCUCAGGAUAGCUGGCGUUCGGAGAUUCGAGUCCCAUGCGGUAAAGCGAAUGAUUAGAGGCCAUGGGGUCGAAACGACCUCAACCUAUCCUCAAACUCUAAAUGUGUGGGAACCGCGGCUUGCUUGAACGUGAAGCCGUGGGUAAUGUCGGAUCGGAGUGCCCAGUGGGCCACUUUUGGUAAGCAGAACUGGCGCUGUGGGAUGAACCAAACGCCGGGUUAAGGCGCCCGAAUAGACGCUCAUGUGAAACCAUGAAAGGUGUUGGUUGCUUAAGACAGCAGGACGGUGGCCAUGGAAAUCGGAAUCCGCUAAGGAGUGUGU
rnacentral:rRNA from 1 species